CACGUAGGGCGCAAGCGUUGUCCGGAAUUAUUGGGCGUAAAGAGCUCGUAGGCGGUCUGUUGCGUCCGCUGUGAAAACCCGGGGCUUAACCCCUGGCUUGCAGUGGAUACGGACAGACUAGAGGUAGGUAGGGGAGAAUGGAAUUCCCGGUGUAGCGGUGAAAUGCGCAGAUAUCGGGAGGAACACCGGUGGCGAAGGCAGAUCUCUGGGCCGUAACUGACGCUGAGGAGCGAAAGCGUGGGGAGCGAACAGG
rnacentral:rRNA from 1 species